rnacentral:lncRNA from 1 species
AUUAAGCAACUAGUCAGCUAGUGUAUGUAAUAUAUAUAAAUAGAAUAGUAAAAGGAGAGUUAAUUUGUGCAGUAGAUUUCAAUCAAAUAACAGAAUCUAUUAUUUUCUCUGUUCUCAACUGUCUUCUCUAAGCUUAUUCUCCUUCUUCCAUAGCCAUGGAAGUUAAUAUGGUACCAGAUCUUGCAUCGUCGAUCUAAGCGCAGUCUUCUGCUCACUCGAUCUCUGUGUCACCUCAAUUCAAACACACGGUGUCGGAAUCGCAAAAGUAAUAGAGAAUUCAAGCUAGAUUUUCU